AUUGAACGCUGGCGGCAUGCCUUACACAUGCAAGUCGAACGGCAGCACGGGAGCAAUCCUGGUGGCGAGUGGCGAACGGGUGAGUAAUACAUCGGAACGUGCCCAGUAGUGGGGGAUAACUGCUCGAAAGAGCAGCUAAUACCGCAUACGACCUGAGGGUGAAAGCGGGGGAUCGCAAGACCUCGCGCUAUUGGAGCGGCCGAUGUCAGAUUAGCUAGUUGGUGGGGUAAAGGCCUACCAAGGCAACGAUCUGUAGUUGGUCUGAGAGGACGACCAGCCACACUGGGACUGAGACACGGCCCAGACUCCUACGGGAGGCAGCAGUGGGGAAUUUUGGACAAUGGGGGCAACCCUGAUCCAGCUAUGCCGCGUGCAGGAAGAAGGCCUUCGGGUUGUAAACUGCUUUUGUCAGGGAAGAAAUCCUCUGGGUUAAUACCUCGGGGGGAUGACGGUACCUGAAGAAUAAGCACUGGCUAACUACGUGCCAGCCGCCGCCGUAACAC
rnacentral:rRNA from 1 species